GGAGAGUUUAGAGAGUUCAACUAUGAUUAAACUUAAUCACAUUAAUAUUAAAUUAAGGGUUAAAUAUAAAAUUAGUACCUGAACUUGUCCAUUUCUCCUACAAUGGUACCUGAACUUUUUUUCUGUCCACAGGUUUGGUACCUGAGCCUAACAUCGUUUAAUUUUUGCUAACGUAGCAGCGCUGGCCAAUCACGCAGAAUCACGUGUCGC
rnacentral:lncRNA from 1 species